UACGGAGGGAGCUAGCGUUGUUCGGAAAUACUGGGCGUAAAGCGCACGUAGGCGGCUUUGCAAGUCGGGUGUGAAAUCCCCAGGCUCAACCUGGGAACUGCAUUCGAGACUGCAUUGCUAGAGUAUGGGAGAGGGAAGUGGAAUUUCCGGUGUAGCGGUGAAAUGCGUAGAUAUCGGAAGGAACAUCAGUGGCGAAGGCGACUUCCUGGACCAAUACUGACGCUCAGGUGCGAAAGCGUGGGGAGCAAACAGG
rnacentral:rRNA from 1 species